ACACUGUGAUCAUGAUACAUUUUUAAUUAAAAAAUAUUUUUAUAAAAACACUUUACACUGUAUUAUCAAACAUGUACUAUGAAAUAACUUAAGUUGACUCGACCCAAGACUUGAGUUGUUGGUUGGAUGAGUUGAUCUAGGUCAAUUUAAGUUUUUUUUUCUCUAAACAAUGUUGUUUUGUUAUAAAAAACCCGGAUUUUUCUGUUACUUUGAGUCAACG
rnacentral:lncRNA from 1 species